UACGGAGGGUGCGAGCGUUGUCCGGAAUCACUGGGCGUAAAGGGCGCGUAGGUGGCGCGACAAGUCAACGGUGAAAGCUCGGCGCUCAACGCCGAGUCGGCCGUCGAUACUGUCGGGCUGGAGCACUGUAGAGGCAGAUGGAAUUCCGGGUGUAGCGGUGGAAUGCGUAGAGAUCCGGAAGAACACCGGUGGCGAAGGCGGUCUGCUGGGCAGUAGCUGACACUGAGGCGCGACAGCGUGGGGAGCAAACAGG
rnacentral:rRNA from 1 species